rnacentral:rRNA from 1 species
GUGGGGAAUAUUGGACAAUGGGCGCAAGCCUGAUCCAGCCAUGCCGCGUGAGUGAUGAAGGCCUUAGGGUUGUAAAGCUCUUUCGCCCACGACGAUAAUGACGGUAGUGGGAGAAGAAGCCCCGGCUAACUUCGUGCCAGCAGCCGCGGUAAUACGAAGGGGGCUAGCGUUGUUCGGAAUUACUGGGCGUAAAGCGCGUGUAGGCGGGUCCUUAAGUCAGGGGUGAAAUGCCAAGGCUCAACCUUGGAACUGCCUUUGAUACUGGGGAUCUUGAGUCCGGGAGAGGUGAGUGGAACUGCGAGUGUAGAGGUGAAAUUCGUAGAUAUUCGCAAGAACACCAGUGGCGAAGGCGGCUCACUGGCCCGGAACUGACGCUGAGACGCGAAAGCGUGGGGAGCAAACAGG